rnacentral:lncRNA from 1 species
AUAUAUAUAUAUAUAUAUAUAUAAUUGAGUUAGAAUACUUUUAGAAGCACCAAUUCUUUGGUGCUUCUAGUUUUUAACCUUUGAAUUUACUCCUUCAUUACUAAUAGCCUUUAGAUCAAACACUAUUCCACAUACUACCACCUACCACCAUCAUCUUAGCCCUACAUCUCUCUAUCCAAUGGCUAAAAACUCAAAAGUACCACUCCCUUAGUGCUUUUAAGAGUAUUCUAGAUCAACUCUUUCUCUCUCUCUCUAUAUAUAGAACUAGGCUCGAAUACUAUUAAUAACACCAAUGACUUGGUGCUAUUAAGUUUUCUGCCUUUGAAUUAAAAGAUGUGCAGCUAGGAUGAUGUGGGCCCCCUAAGGUUGAGUGAGUGAUUGGUUGAAUAGUAUAAUCGAACGGAUGGAAAUAAUAAAAGAGCUAAAUCUAACAGCGGAAAACUUGAUAGCAUAAAAAAUUUUGUACUAUUGAUAGUAUCCUAACCGGACUAUAUAUAUAUAUAUAUAUAAUAAUAUUUUAUUUUUACUAUUAAAUAUAAACUAUAAUCCUAACAUAUAUAAUAUAAUAAUAAUUAUUAUAUAUCAAUAAUAUAUAAUAUAUGGAAUAAAAAAAUAAAU